rnacentral:rRNA from 1 species
GAUGAACGCUGGCGGCGUGCCUAAUACAUGCAAGUCGAGCGAACAGACGAGGAGCUUGCUCCUCUGACGUUAGCGGCGGACGGGUGAGUAACACGUGGAUACCCUACCUAUAAGACUGGGAUAACUUCGGGAAACCGGAGCUAAUACCGGAUAAUAUAUUGAACCGCAUGGUUCAAUAGUGAAAGACGGUUUCGCUGUCACUUCUAGAUGGAUCCGCGCCGCAUUAGCUAGUUGGUAAGGUAACGGGUUACCAAGGCAACGAUGCGUAGCCGACCUGAGAGAGUGAUCGGCCACACGGGAGCGUAGACACGGUCCAGGCGCCUGAGAGACGCAGCAGUAGGGUAUCGUCCGCAGUGGGCGAGAGCUUGACGGAGCAACGCGGCGCGAGUGAUGAAGGUCUUCGGAUCGUAAAGCUCUGUUAUUAGGGAAGAACAAAUGUGUAAGUAGCUAUGCACGUCUUGACGGUACCUAAUCAGAAAGCAACGGCUAACUACGUG